GUAUAUGUAUGUGUGCAUGAACAUGUGUAUAUGAAUAUACAUAUACAUACACACAUACCCAUACAAACA
rnacentral:pre_miRNA from 1 species